rnacentral:rRNA from 1 species
GAUGAACGCUGGCGGCGUGCCUAAUACAUGCAAGUCGAGCGAACGGACGAGAAGCUUGCUUCUCUGAUGUUAGCGGCGGACGGGUGAGUAACACGUGGAUAACCUACCUAUAAGACUGGGAUAACUUCGGGAAACCGGAGCUAAUAACGGAUAAUAUUUUGAACCGCAUGGUUCAAAAGUGAAAGACGGUAUUGCUGUCACUUAUAGAUGGAUCCGCGCUGCAUUAGCUAGUUGGUAAGGUAACGGCUUACCAAGGCAACGAUGCAUAGCCGACCUGAGAGGGUUAUCGGCCACACUGGAACUGAGACACGUUCCAAACUCCUACGGGAGGCGGCAGUAGGGAAUCUUCCGCAAUGGGGGAAAGCCUGACGGAGCAACGCCGCGUGAGUGAUGAAGGUCUUCGGAUCGUAAAACUCUGUUAUUAGGGAGGAACAUAUGUGUAAGUAACUGUGCACAUCUUGACGGUACCUAAUCAGAAAGCCACGGCUAACUACGUG